rnacentral:lncRNA from 1 species
GUUUAAUAUCAAUUGUUUUGAAAUCUUAAUUCAUCUUUGUGACCAUUAAUCCUUGAAAUGUGCAAACCAAACCUGGAUGGAAGCUUUAAGAAUCGGUUAUUAUGUAUGCACAAGGGUAGACACAUUUUCAGUACAAAAUACAUGGAUUACUAACAAACAUGAAAUUGCUGUAAAACCUGCACCAACCUUAGUGGAGCAUGUUUCUUUUAUUACGGGAGACAUUUUUUUUUUUAAUUUUGACAGCCAUAAUGUAGUUUUCUAUGUCUGAAAAAGUUCAAUUUUUUCAUAUCGUUAAUUUUUU